AGUGAACGCUGGCGGUAGGCCUAACACAUGCGAGUCGAACGGCAGCACAGUAAGAGCUUGCUCUUACGGGUGGCGAGUGGCGGACGGGUGAGGAAUACAUCGGAAUCUACUUUUUCGUGGGGAUAACGUAGGGAAACUUACGCUAAUACCGCAUACGACCUACGGGUGAAAGCAGGGGAUCUUCGGACCUUGCGCGAUUGAAUGAGCCGAUGUCGGAUUAGCUAGUUGGCGGGGUAAAGGCCCACCAAGGUGACGAUCCGUAGCUGGUCUGAGAGGAUGAUCAGCCACACUGGAACUGAGACACGGUCCAGACUCCUACGGGAGGCAGCAGUGGGGAAUAUUGGACAAUGGGCGCAAGCCUGAUCCAGCCAUACCGCGUGGGUGAAGAAGGCCUUCGGGUUGUAAAGCCCUUUUGUUGGGAAAGAAAAGCAGCAGGUUAAUACCCCGCUGUUCUGACGGUACCCAAAGAAUAAGCACCGGCUAACUUCGUG
rnacentral:rRNA from 1 species